AAACAAUAUUCAACAUUGAGGGGAUGACGUGUGCGAGAGGCAGAAAUUAAGAAGAUAAAAUCACGAGUAGGCUCGUCUAUUCUACACAAGAACAGGAAAGAGAAACGCCCUUUUAGACACUUGUCAGGGUUCACAAAAAUUAAGAUGUUGAUGGCGUCCGGGCGCGCAAAGGGAAGGUCACUGGGUGAAACACAUAGCUCUGCAGAGAUGUUGAUAUAAGUUAGAGAGGCAGGGAGAAGUAGCCAUGGAGGUCUCUGCCGUUCCAGCUGCGGUGUUCAGCUUCUUCUGUUAAAAAAAUAAACCCAGGGAAUCGACUUCCAGAAGAUCCCGUUAAAAGACGCAGGAGCAUGUAGGUUUUAGGGUUUUAACGUUUUUUCACUUUAUAAUUUAUUAGACUUAUGUUGUGGGAGACGAAAUCAUAGAGAUCAAUUAGAAAUUUUACAGUUACAUGUUUGAAGAUGAAUAAAUAACUAGACCAAAGACAUG